UACGAAGGGGGCGAGCGUUGUUCGGAUUUACUGGGCGUAAAGGGCGCGCAGGCGGCUCAUUUUGUCAGGCGUGAAAGCCCCGGGCUUAACCUGGGAACUGCGUCUGAUACUGGAUGGCUAGAGUUUGGGAGAGGGAUGCGGAAUUCCAGGUGUAGCGGUGAAAUGCGUAGAUAUCUGGAGGAACACCGGUGGCGAAGGCGGCAUCCUGGACCAACACUGACGCUGAGGAGCGAAAGCCAGGGGAGCAAACGGGG
rnacentral:rRNA from 1 species